rnacentral:tRNA from 1 species
GCCCUGCCACUGGUGCUGUAAUGCUCCUCUCUCUCUCUGGUAGAGCGCCAGACUCUUAAUCUGGUGGUCGUGGGUUCGAGCCCCACAUUGGGCG